GCCAGCAUUCAGUUGGGCACUCUAAGGUGACUGCCGGCUAAAAGUCGGAGGAAGGUGGGGAUGACGUCAAAUCAUCAUGCCCCUUAUGACCUGGGCUACACACGUGCUACAAUGGGCGGUACAAAGGGUCGCGAACCCGCGAGGGGGAGCCAAUCCCAAAAAGCCGCUCUCAGUUCGGAUUGCAGGCUGCAACUCGCCUGCAUGAAGCCGGAAUCGCUAGUAAUCGCGGAUCAGCAUGCCGCGGUGAAUACGUUCCCGGGCCUU
rnacentral:rRNA from 1 species